CCUACGGGAGGCAGCAGUGAGGAAUAUUGGUCAAUGGGCGGAAGCCUGAACCGGCCAAGUCGCGUGAGGGAUUAAGGCCCUGCGGGUCGUAAACCUCUUUUGCCGGGGAGCAGUGGUCCGGACGAGUCCGGGCCGGGAGAGUACCCGGAGAAAAAGCAUCGGCUAACUCCGUGCCAGCAGCCGCGGUAAUACGGAGGAUGCGAGCGUUAUCCGGAUUUAUUGGGUUUAAAGGGUGCGUAGGCGGGCAUUUAAGCCGGCGGUCAAAUGUCGGGGCUCAACCCCGGCCUGCCGUCGGAACUGGGUGCCUUGAGUGGGCGAGAAGUAUGCGGAAUGCGUGGUGUAGCGGUGAAAUGCAUAGAUAUCACGCAGAACCCCGAUUGCGAAGGCAGCAUACCGGCGCCCGACUGACGCUGAGGCACGAAAGUGCGGGUAUCGAACAGGAUUAGAUACCCCUGUAGUC
rnacentral:rRNA from 1 species